rnacentral:rRNA from 1 species
AACGAACGCUGGCGGCAGGCCUAACACAUGCAAGUCGAGCGAGGACUUCGGUUCUAGCGGCGGACGGGUGAGUAACGCGUGGGAAUGUGCCCUUCUCUACGGAAUAGCCCUGGGAAACUGGGAGUAAUACCGUAUACGCCCUAUUGGGGAAAGAUUUAUCGGAGAAGGAUCAGCCCGCGUUGGAUUAGGUAGUUGGUGGGGUAAUGGCCUACCAAGCCGACGAUCCAUAGCUGGUUUGAGAGGAUGAUCAGCCACACUGGGACUGAGACACGGCCCAGACUCCUCGGGAAGCAGCAGUGGGGAAUCUUAGACAAUGGGGGCAACCCUGAUCUAGCCAUGCCGCGUGAGUGAUGAAGGCCUUAGGGUUGUAAAGCUCUUUCAGCUGGGAAGAUAAUGACGGUACCAGCAGAAGAAGCCCCGGCUAACUCCGUG